rnacentral:misc_RNA from 1 species
GAUGAAGAACGUAGCGAAAUGCGAUAAGUAAUGUGAAUUGCAGAAUUCAGUGAAUCAUCGAAUCUUUGAACGCACAUUGCGCCCGCUAGUAUUCUGGCGGGCAAGCCUGUCCGAGCGUCAUUUCAACCCUCAAGCCCCCGGGCUUGGUGUUGGGGAUCGGCGAGCCUCCGCGCCCGCCGUCCCCUAAAUCUAGUGGCGGUCUCGCUGUAGCUUCCUCUGCGUAGUAGCACACCUCGCACUGGGAAACAGCGCGGCCACGCCGUUAAACCCCCAACUUCUGAACGUUUGACCUCGGAUCAGGUAGGAAUACCCGCUGAACUUAAGCAUAUCAAUAAGCGGAGGA